CGGCACGGGUGCGUAACGCGUGGGAAUCUGCCCUCUGGUACGGAAUAACUCAGGGAAACUUGAGCUAAUACCGUAUAAUGACUUCGGUCCAAAGAUUUAUCGCCUGAGGAUGAGCCCGCGUCGGAUUAGCUAGUUGGUGAGGUAAAGGCUCACCAAGGCGACGAUCCGUAGCUGGUCUGAGAGGAUGAUCAGCCACACUGGGACUGAGACACGGCCCAG
rnacentral:rRNA from 1 species